GAAAGAUGGUUUUGCUAUCGCUUAUAGAUGGACCCGCGCCGUAUUAGCUAGUUGGUAAGGUAACGGCUUACCAAGGCGACGAUACGUAGCCGACCUGAGAGGGUGAUCGGCCACACUGGAACUGAGACACGGUCCAGACUCCUACGGGAGGCAGCAGUAGGGAAUCUUCCGCAAUGGGCGAAAGCCUGACGGAGCAACGCCGCGUGAGUGAUGAAGGGUUUCGGCUCGUAAAACUCUGUUAUUAGGGAAGAACAAAUGUGUAAGUAACUGUGCACAUCUUGACGGUACCUAAUCAGAAAGCCACGGCUAACUACGUGCCAGCAGCCGCGGUAAUACGUAGGUGGCAAGCGUUAUCCGGAAUUAUUGGGCGUAAAGCGCGCGUAGGCGGUUUCUUAAGUCUGAUGUGAAAGCCCACGGCUCAACCGUGGAGGGUCAUUGGAAACUGGGAAACUUGAGUGCAGAAGAGGAAAGUGGAAUUCCAUGUGUAGCGGUGAAAUGCGCAGAGAUAUGGAGGAACACCAGUGGCGAAGGCGACUUUCUGGUCUGUAACUGACGCUGAUGUGCGAAAGCGUGGGGAUCAAACAGGAUUAGAUACCCUGGUAGUCCACGCCGUAAACGAUGAGUGCUAAGUGUUAGGGGGUUUCCGCCCCUUA
rnacentral:rRNA from 1 species